GUUCCCAUCCCGAACACGGUAGUUAAGCUUCUCUGCGCCAAUGGUAGUUGGGGGCUUCCCCCUGCGAGAGUAGGUCGUUGCCGGGC
rnacentral:rRNA from 3 species